CUUCUUCUUGCUGCCUGCUGGCCUCCUGGGUUUACGGUGUCACUGCGGCCAGGGCUGGGGGAACAGGACGUCUAGAAGACGGUGUGAGCACUGAAGGUAUCAUGAUCCUCAUUUUACUGUUAGGAAAUCGAAGCCUAAAGGAGAGAAGUGACUAAGCGAAGGCCAACAGAAAGGGGCAGAGGUAAAUCCAAACCCAAUCCCAGUAGAUUUCAGAGCCGUUGCUUUUCCCACUGCAAUGUCAGCCC
rnacentral:lncRNA from 10 species